AUCUUUCUAGUAUUAAAAAGUAUAAGUGACUUCCAAUUACCCGGUCUUGGUUAAACUCCAAGGAAAGAUA
rnacentral:tRNA from 2 species